GCAGCUUUUCUUGGGACACCCAGCGGCUUUUGCAAGAUGCUGGUUUUGGGGAGCCAUCCUGGUAAGACCCGGAAGCUGCGGUUUUCAUCUCAUCCUAGCUGUCAAGACAGCUGGGUAAAUUAUCCUUAAAUAAAAUGGUUCCUUAGAAAACUGACCAAGUGGUUGGUGAACACCUUUAAUCCCGGCACUGGGGGAGUGGGGGACAGAGGCGGCGACAGACACAUCACUGUGAGUUCCAGGACAGCCAGGACUGUACAAAGAGAAACCCUGUCUCGAAGAAAAAUGGAACAGCAAAUGUCAUUUAAAUAAAACUUUCUAUGUGAAAUCUUGACCAAAGUUACCUGUUAUAUUGGUCACAAGAACUUUUUCUCCUGAACUGGACCUGAAAUCCUAUCCUGACCUGCAAGGAAGGUGCUGCACACAGUAAGACUAUAAACAUGGGUAGCAACAGCCAAGGCUGCCUCUACUCAGACCCAUUUUCUUCCAGGCCAUCAUGGCUUUGAGGGAGCAGAGAGGAAGAAGUGAACUAUGGCUGAGGAAAUCAAUCAGACUCUGUCUCCCUAGCAUUCUGCCUCAGCCACUGUUCUACAAUGCUUUUCCAUUAGGCUUUUUAUUGCCUUCAAGAGUGUCUUGCCCUCCUGUGACAAAAACACCUGUAUUCCCAGAACUUGGGAGUCACGUGAUUUGAAGUAGCCUGGGCUAUGUAUGACCCUGUGUCAGAUGAAUAAAAAGCUCACUUUGUAUUUUGAAAA